rnacentral:rRNA from 1 species
GGUCCAGACUCCUACGGGAGGCAGCAGUGAGGAAUAUUGGUCAAUGGCCGAGAGGCUGAACCAGCCAAGUCGCGUGAGGGAAGACUGCCCUAUGGGUUGUAAACCUCUUUUGUCAGGGAGCAACGCCGGCUACGUGUAGCCGGACUGAGAGUACCUGAAGAAAAAGCACCGGCUAACUACGUGCCGGCAGCCGCGGUAAUACGUAGGGUGCGAGCGUUAAUCGGAAUUACUGGGCGUAAAGGGUGUGCAGGCGGCUGAGUAAGACAGAUGUGAAAUCCCCGGGCUUAACCUGGGAACCGCAUAUGUGACUGCUUGGCUAGAGUGCGUCAGAGGGAGGCGGAAUUCCACGUGUAGCAGUGAAAUGCGUAGAUAUGUGGAAGAACACCGAUGGCGAAGGCAGCCUCCUGGGACGCAACUGACGCUCAUACACGAAAGCGUGGGGAGCAAACAGGAUUAGAUACCCUUGUA